rnacentral:tRNA from 1 species
AAUAAAAUGGCCGAGUUAUAGGCGAUAAAUUGUAAAUUUAUUUACGAAAAAUUUUUCUUUUAUUA